CAUCGCCGAUCUGGAGAGAGGCCGCCACGCGGCCCACCGAAGGGGCAAGCGGUCCGACGCGAGGUGCCGGGCCGCCCAAACUCUCAGGUAAAAGGACAGCGGGAGCG
rnacentral:ncRNA from 2 species